rnacentral:rRNA from 1 species
AUUUUUUAAAUUGCCGUGGUAUUUUGACUAUACAAAGGUAUUGAAAUAAGAUUUUAAUUGAAUGCUAAGAGAAUGGAAGUCCAGGAAAAAAACUUUUUUUAAAUUAAAAAUUGAAGUUUUUUUAAUUGGUGCAGAAACAAUUAUUUAUAUUAAAGACAAGAAGACCCUAUGAAUUUAUUAAAUUUUUAUUUAAUAUGUAAUUACUAUUAGAAAAAUUUUGGCUGGGGCGGCUAGAAAAUAUUAUGAACUUUUUAAAAAUAAAAUGAUCCAUUAUUAAUGAUUUUAUGUUAAAUACUCUAGGGAUACGGGCGGUAAA